rfam:Schistosoma mattheei strain Denwood, Zambia genome assembly, scaffold: SMTD_scaffold0000402
AUCCAAUUGACGAGUCCGAAAUAGGACGAAAUGCUAUCCUGGAU